rnacentral:sRNA from 1 species
UCAUGAACAACGCAAAAUAACAACAUUCUUCUCAAAAAGCGUUCCUACGAGGACAAUGUCCAAGGAAGUACGGAAAUCGUCAUAGAGAAUGGAGACCAAGUUCAGCUUGACUGAACAGGUUCGAUCUUGGGUGCAGUACCUGCCUGGCCUUCUGGUUCAUGUGGUAGGAAUUGCAAUGAUUGAUUCUACAA